ACGCUGGCGGUAUGCUUAACACAUGCAAGUCGAACGGGAUGCUUAGGCAUCUAGUGGCGGACGGGUGAGUAACGCGUGAGAAUCUGGCUCCAGGUCGGGGAUAACAGUUGGAAACGACUGCUAAUACCGGAUGUGCCGAAAGGUGAAAGAUUUAUUGCCUGGAGAUGAGCUCGCGUCUGAUUAGCUAGUUGGUGGUGUAAGGGACCACCAAGGCGUCGAUCAGUAGCUGGUCUGAGAGGAUGAUCAGCCACACUGGGACUGAGACACGGCCCAGACUCCUACGGGAGGCAGCAGUGGGGAAUUUUCCGCAAUGGGCGAAAGCCUGACGGAGCAAUACCGCGUGAGGGAGGAAGGCUCUUGGGUCGUAAACCUCUUUUCUCAAGGAAGAAGAAAGUGACGGUACUUGAGGAAUAAGCAUCGGCUAACUCCGUGCCAGCAGCCGCGGUAAUACGGAGGAUGCAAGCGUUAUCCGGAAUGAUUGGGCGUAAAGGGUCUGCAGGUGGAACUGAAAGUCUGCUGUUAAAGAGUUUGGCUUAACCAAAUAAAAGCGGUGGAAACUACAGAACUAGAGUGCGGUAGGGGCAAAAGGAAUUCCUGGUGUAGCGGUGAAAUGCGUAGAUAUCAGGAAGAACACCGGUGGCGAAAGCGUUUUGCUAGACCGUAACUGACACUGAGGGACGAAAGCUAGGGGAGCGAAUGGGAUUAGAUACCCCAGUAGUCCUAGCCGUAAACGAUGGAUACUAGGCGUGGCUUGUAUCGACCCGAGCCGUGCCGGAGCUAACGCGUUAAGUAUCCCGCCUGGGGAGUACGCACGCAAGUGUGAAACUCAAAGGAAUUGACGGGGGCCCGCACAAGCGGUGGAGUAUGUGGUUUAAUUCGAUGCAACGCGAAGAACCUUACCAAGACUUGACAUCCUGCGAAUCCUGGUGAAAGCUGGGAGUGCCUUAGGGAGCGCAGAGACAGGUGGUGCAUGGCUGUCGUCAGCUCGUGUCGUGAGAUGUUGGGUUAAGUCCCGCAACGAGCGCAACCCUCGUUUUUAGUUGCCAGCAUUAAGUUGGGCACUCUAGAGAGACUGCCGGUGACAAACCGGAGGAAGGUGAGGAUGACGUCAAGUCAGCAUGCCCCUUACGUCUUGGGCUACACACGUACUACAAUGCUACGGACAGAGGGCAGCAAGCCAGGGAUGGCAAGCGAAUCCAGAAACCGUAGCUCAGUUCAGAUCGAAGGCUGCAACUCGCCUUCGUGAAGGAGGAAUCGCUAGUAAUUGCAGGUCAGCAUACUGCAGUGAAUUCGUUCCCGGGCCUUGUACACACCGCCCGUCACACCAUGGAAGUUGGUCACGCCCGAAGUCAUUACCCCAACCGAAA
rnacentral:rRNA from 1 species